AUUAGAGCCCUUACACUGUGUAUCAUCUUAUGUAUGACCAUUACAUCAGCACUGGUCCCUCUCUCUUUCUAUCCCUCGACUGGACAGUGAGCAGACAUGUCUCAUCGCAAAUUCCACGCACCCCGCCAUGGACACAUGGGGUUCCUGCCUCACAAGCGUAGCAAGAAGCAUAGGGGCAGGGUGCGUACGUGGCCCAAAGAUGACCCCAGUCAACCCGUCCACCUCACUGCCUUUCUGGGAUACAAAGCUGGCAUGACCCACACACUGAGGGAGAUGCACCGCACUGGCCUCAAGCAAUCAAAGAGAGAGGAAGUAGAGGCGGUUACCAUCAUUGACACUCCUCCAGUCAUUGUGGUCGGGGUCGUGGGAUACAUUCACACUAUCCGUGGCUUGCGUUCCCUCAAAACUAUCUUUGCCGAGCAUCUCAGUGACGAGUGCAAGCGCAGAUUUUAUAAAAACUGGUUCAAGAGCAAAAAGAAGGCCUUCACUAAGUACAGUAAGAAGUGGCAGGAUGAGACAGGAAAAAAACAGCUGGACAAGGAUUUUGCUCAGAUGAAGAAAUACUGUUCAGUGAUCAGGGUCAUUGUUCACUCUCAGAUGCGACUGCUGCCCAUAAACCAGAAAAAGGCCCACAUCAUGGAGGUGCAGCUGAAUGGUGGAAGCAUCUCAGACAAGGUGGACUGGGCAAAGGAGCGUCUGGAGCAGGCCGUGCCCGUCUCUGCCGUCUUCUACCAGGAUGAGAUGAUUGACAUCAUUGGAGUCACCAAGGGUCAUGGCUUUAAAGGUGUGACAAGCCGCUGGCGCACAAAGAAGCUUCCCAGGAAGACUCACAAGGGUCUGAGGAAGGUGGCCUGUAUUGGGGCCUGGCAUCCAGCCCGUGUGGCAUACACAAUAGCUCGUGCUGGUCAGAAGGGCUAUAACCACCGUACCGAGAUCAACAAGAAGAUCUAUCGUAUUGGUAGGGGUGUGCACAUCCAGGAUGGAAAGGUGAUCCGGAACAAUGCCUCCACUAACUACGACACCAGCCAGAAGACCAUUACGCCCAUGGGAGGCUUCCCCCACUAUGGUGAAGUGAACAAUGACUUUGUUAUGGUGAAGGGCUGUGUGGUCGGGGCUAAGAAACGUGUCCUCACCCUCAGAAAGGACAUGUACAUGUAUGUGUACAUCUUUGUGUACACCCCAGUCUUUGCUCGUGCACACAUCUCGCAAGUCCAAGGAGACCAUCGAGCUCAAGUUCAUUGACACCACUUCCAAAUUUGGUCAUGGCCGCUUCCAGACUGCCCAGGAGAAGAGGGCAUUUAUGGGGCCACUGAAGAAGGAUGCCCUGAAGACACUGCCGGAACCUCUGACCGAGGAGGCCUGAAAAAAAUUCUCAUAUCUCAAUUCUCAUACAAUAAUAAAGAGUUUCAAAUACA